GAUGAACGCUGGCGGCGUGCCUAAUACAUGCCAGUCGAGCGAACGGACGAGAAGCUUGCUUCUCUGAUGUUAGCGGCGGACGGGUGAGUAACACGUGGAUAACCUAUCUAUAAGACUGGGAUAACUUCGGGAAACCGUAGCUAAUACCGGAUAAUAUUUUGAACCGCAUGGUUCAAAAGUGAAAGACGGUCUUGCUGUCACUUAUAGAUGGAUCCGCGCUGCAUUAGCUAGUUGGUAAGGUAACGGCUUACCAAGGCAACGAUGCAUAGCCGACCUGAGAGGGUGAUCGGCCACACUGGAACUGAGACACGGUCCAGACUCCUACGGGAGGCAGCAGUAGGGAAUCUUCCGCAAUGGGCGAAAGCCUGACGGAGCAACGCCGCGUGAGUGAUGAAGGUCUUCGGAUCGUAAAACUCUGUUAUUAGGGAAGAACAUAUGUGUAAGUAACUGUGCACAUCUUGACGGUACCUAAUCAGAAAGCCACGGCUAACUACGUG
rnacentral:rRNA from 1 species